rnacentral:rRNA from 1 species
ACGGGAGGCAGCAGUGGGGAAUCUUCCGCAAUGGGCGAAAGCCUGACGGAGCAAUGCCGCGUGAGUGAAGAAGGAAUUCGUUCCGUAAAGCUCUUUUGUUUAUGACGAACGUGCCUUGUGUGAACAAUGCGAGGCAAUGACGGUAGUAGACGAAUAAGCCACGGCUAACUACGUGCCAGCAGCCGCGGUAAUACGUAGGUGGCGAGCGUUGUCCGGAAUUAUUGGGCGUAAAGAGCAUGUAGGCGGUUUCCUAAGUCCGGAGUGAAAAUGCGGGGCUCAACCCCGUAUGGCUCUGGAUACUGGGAGGCUUGAGUGCAGGAGAGGAAAGGGGAAUUCCCAGUGUAGCGGUGAAAUGCGUAGAUAUUGGGAGGAACACCAGUGGCGAAGGCGCCUUUCUGGACUGUGUCUGACGCUGAGAUGCGAAAGCCAGGGUAGCGAACAGGAUUAGAUACCCUGGUA